UACAGAGGUCUCAAGCGUUGUUCGGAUUCAUUGGGCGUAAAGAGCUCGUAGGCGGUGUGUCGCGUCGGCCGUGAAAACCUGGGGCUCAACUCUGGGCGUGCGGUCGAUACGGGCAUCACUGGAGUUCGGCAGGGGAGACUGGAAUUCCUGGUGUAGCGGUGAAAUGCGCAGAUAUCAGGAGGAACACCGGUGGCGAAGGCGGGUCUCUGGACAGUUCCUGACACUGAGACACGAAGGCCAGGGGAGCAAACGGG
rnacentral:rRNA from 1 species